CAGCAGCCGCGGUAAUACGAAGGGUGCAAGCGUUAAUCGGAAUUACUGGGCGUAAAGCGUGCGCAGGCGGUUAUAUAAGUCAGAUGUGAAGUCCCCGGGCUCAACCUGGGAACUGCAUUUGAGACUGUAUGGCUAGAGUGUGUCAGAGGGGGGUAGAAUUCCACGUGUAGCAGUGAAAUGCGUAGAUAUGUGGAGGAAUACCGAUGGCGAAGGCAGCCCCCUGGGAUAACACUGACGCUCAUGCACGAAAGCGUGGGGAGCAAACAGGAUUAGAUACCCGAGUAGUCCCUGUCUCUUAUAC
rnacentral:rRNA from 1 species